AUGUGGACGAAGUGGCCUGCAUUUGAACCAAAAAACACCGGGCGAAGUGAGCUGCACUACCGAACGUAUUGCACUGUGUUGUGGACAGAGUCGACAGCCACCAAAAUUAACAGCAGUGUGCAGGGGGCGUCGACGGCGAACUUCAUGGGUGAGGAGGGAGAGCUGCAGUGCCCAGCUGAACUACACACCGGCGGUGACAAUGUUGGGCAGCACCACCCUGCACUUGGGCCCGUCCUUCCUGCCACCAACCUUCGCCCCAGCGCUGCUGCCCCUACUCCUUGGGGCGCGAGGCGUCGCCACCACAGUCGCCAUCUUCUUCGUGAGGUACAAUCGCGGGAAGCAGCAGAUGAGACGGCAGAGGCCAUGGCCGCCGGAUCCGGAGGAGGCGAAGCCUUGGCGCCCACCAUGUCGGGACAACACCUCGCCCUGGCCGGCAUGAAGGAGCGGCAACCCCGAGAGGAAGAGGGUGACCACAGGGGGGCAGGGGGGCUCGGGGACGGGUCGCCGCCGAUAGACAGUGGUCGUGCUGCCGCGCACCCCCGCGACAUGGUGAAGCUCUGA
rnacentral:rRNA from 1 species